rnacentral:rRNA from 1 species
GAUGAACGCUGGCGGCGUGCCUAAUACAUGCAAGUCGAGCGAACAGACGAGGAGCUUGCUCCUCUGACGUUAGCGGCGGACGGGUGAGUAACACGUGGAUAACCUACCUAUAAGACUGGGAUAACUUCGGGAAACCGGAGCUAAUACCGGAUAAUAUAUUGAACCGCAUGGUUCAAUAGUGAAAGACGGUUUUGCUGUCACUUAUAGGUGGAUCCGCGCCGCAUUAGCUAGUUGGUAAGGUAACGGCUUACCAAGGCGACGAUGCGUAGCCGACCUGAGAGGGUGAUCGGCCACACUGGAACUGAGACACGGUCCAGACUCCUACGGGAGGCAGCAGUAGGGAAUCUUCCGCAAUGGGCGAAAGCCUGACGGAGCAACGCCGCGUGAGUGAUGAAGGUCUUCGGAUCGUAAAACUCUGUUAUUAGGGAAGAACAACUGUGUAAGUAACUAUGCACGUCUUGACGGUACCUAAUCAGAAAGCCACGGCUAACUACGUG